rnacentral:rRNA from 1 species
GUGGGGAAUCUUGCGCAAUGGGCGAAAGCCUGACGCAGCCAUGCCGCGUGAAUGAUGAAGGUCUUAGGAUUGUAAAAUUCUUUCACCGGGGACGAUAAUGACGGUACCCGGAGAAGAAGCUCCGGCUAACUUCGUGCCAGCAGCCGCGGUAAUACGAAGGGGGCUAGCGUUGCUCGGAAUUACUGGGCGUAAAGGGCGCGUAGGCGGACAGCUUAGUCAGAGGUGAAAGCCUAGGGCUCAACCUUGGAAUUGCCUUUGAUACUGGCUGUCUUGAGUUUGGGAGAGGUGAGUGGAACUCCGAGUGUAGAGGUGAAAUUCGUAGAUAUUCGGAAGAACACCAGUGGCGAAGGCGACUCACUGGCCCAAUACUGACGCUGAGGCGCGAAAGCGUGGGGAGCAAACAGGAUUAGAAACCCCGGUAGUCC